GUGGGGAAUCUUCCGCAAUGGACGAAAGUCUGACGGAGCAACGCCGCGUGAGUGAUGAAGGUCUUCGGAUUGUAAAGCUCUGUUAAUCGGGACGAAAGAGCCUAGUGUGAAUAAUGCUAGGAAGUGACGGUACCGGAAUAGAAAGCCACGGCUAACUACAUGCCAGCAGCCGCGGUAAUACGUAGGUGGCAAGCGUUGUCCGGAAUUAUUGGGCGUAAAGCGCGCGCAGGCGGAUCUGCCAGUCUGUCUUAAAAGUUCGGGGCUUAACCCCGUGAUGGGAUGGAAACUACAGAUCUAGAGUAUCGGAGAGGAAAGUGGAAUUCCUAGUGUAGCGGUGAAAUGCGUAGAGAUUUGGAAGAACACCAGUGGCGAAGGCGACUUUCUGGACGAUGUCUGACGCUGAGGCGCGAAAGCUAGGGGAGCGAACGGGAUUAGAAACCCGAGUAGUCC
rnacentral:rRNA from 1 species